UUUUUUUUUGUGUGUGUGUGGGGGGGGGGGCAAAAAUAGACUCAAUACUAUAGAAUAUAACACACACGUUCAUAUUUCAUCAUAUCACCCAUAAAUAAUCCUAAAACAUGCAUCGCAUCCUCUCUAAUAAUUUUUCAUUCUCAUAAAUUACUUAUCCUAAAAUUUCCAUCGCAACACAUGGAGAAUUCAACUAGUUUAUGUAUAAAUAAUAACAGAUAUACAUAGAGAAGAUAGAGAUGUGAAGCCAAGCCACGCAACAUUUUAGUUUCCUAAUAAUAAAGUUAGGACAUCGAUCAAGCGACUAGCUAUGUAACUUAAUGAAAGAGAAUAUGGAUAAUUGAUUCCUAGGCACCCAUCAUCUACUGCUACUGCUACUAUUACUACUAGGUAGAGAACGAACUAAUAGAGAUAGACUGGUGUAGUGGUGUCUUCAUCUCUAUCUUGUAGUAGCACAACUUCAACUUACACAUAGCUAGCUAGCUAUAGGCCGGCUCAGCUGGGAUGAUUUAAUUUAUGGAUGGCUUGAUUUCCGAUCCAUGCAUGCAUUGCACGCACAGACAGAGCAUAUACAUCAUGGGUUACAUAUCAUGCACCGGCCGGCCUUAUACGUGUGGGUGUGACGAUGGAAGGAUGAAGAAGAGACACCCAGCCUGAGCUCAAGGUCGAGAUCAUCGCCGUCAGCAUCCUCUGGGCCACCACCUGCUGGAGCAUGCGCAGUAGGGGUAGUAGAAGUGGCUGCAGCCGCAGUGUUGCAGUUGCUGCACACCAGUACUCCAACCCCCAGCUCCAGCUCCAUGGACGACGUCGACGGGCGCUUAUUGUCACCAUCACGAUCAAGCAGCAGCUUCUUGCUGCUGCUGGGGCGAUGGAGAUGGCACUGAUGUGGUGGCGGAUAGUUGAGGUUGGGAAUCGUCGUCAUCAUCAUCAUCGCCGGCGGUGGAGGAGGAGCAGGAGGAGGUGAGCCGCCGUGCCUGAGCCUUGCCCUGUCCCUCCUGUGGACAUUCAUGUGUCCCCCGAGUGCCUGCGCGGACCUGAACUCCCUCUUGCAGAAGCUGCAGGGGUAGGAUCGCGGUGGCCAAGUGAAGAAGCUGCAGCUGCUGUAGCUCCAUGACGACGAUGCUGCCGGCGCCUGCUGCUGCUGCUGUCUGCUGCUGCUUGAUGCGCCCUGCUGCAGCUGCUUCUUGCUGCUCUCCUCCCUCUCAUCCAUGCUAGCUAGCUGCGGCUACUGCUAGAUCUAUCUAUCUCGAUCUGCUACUUCUCUUGCUUGCAGUGUAAUGUAACCACCAAAAGGCCGGCCGGCCGGCCGGUAUAAAGAGAUGGUAUGCUAUAUAAUUAAGGUGUAGGUGUGGAGUGAGCUAGCUAGGUGGUAAUAUUAGUGGGCGAGAUUGCUGCAGGUGCGUAGUGAGAGCGGAACGAAACGGUGUUGGUGGCUAGAGCUAGCUAUUUGUACACCCAUCGAGGGAUAUGAUAUCCCGGCCGGCCGCUACCUCCAUCACUAGCUAGCUAGUGCAGUAGUGAGUGCUGCCGCUCUCUCCCGCCGCGCCGGUCAUGGAUCGGAUAGAUAGAUCGAUCGUCGUCGUCGUCAUUUAUCAUGCAGAUCGAUCGAUCCAAUCCACUGCAUGCACGGCGACUCAGGACGUACUCUCGAUCGAUCUGUCUCUGUCAACGCCCCGGCCGGCCAUCUCUCUGUCUACUGAACAGCUGUGCAUGCUAUCAUGCAUGGCGCGCGUUUGACUUGAUUGACUGGGCUCUGGGCGAUCUCUCUCUCCCUCUCGUAACACACACGCAUGCACAGACAGAAAAAUAUGGAGUGUGCGAGGGAGUCCCCGCCGGGCCGGGCCAGCAGCAGCAGCAGCAGCAGCAGAGAGACGACGAUAUCGACGCCACUGUAGACGAUGGUGCAUUCAUGCAUGCAUGUAGCAAGCCAUCAGUUGCAUUUUCACUGUUGUGUGCGUACGUGAUGAUGGACGACGACUACAUCAACAUCAUGUCGAUCGUGCAUGUACAUGUGAGCUAGAUGAUCGAGCUACUGUCCGAAGUCGGAGGACAACCCGAAAUAGCUUCCUCGGUAUCCCCAUCUCUCGUUUGUCAAAGGUGAGCAGUGAAAAUCUUUCCUCUUGCACAACAAACUCAGACUGCAGGCUUGCAUGGCCUGCCCACCCCCACCCUCACCACUUCACCACUGACCAGUCCGUCGUCCUCUUUGACCACUGCCAUGUAUGUACAUGCACGUGCACAUCACUAGCUAGCUCUGCUUGCAAACCAGUAGCUAGCCAAGACGAUCCAUCCAUCACCUGUGUGGCCGGCCUGCAUGCCUACCUUAGGCUUUAUUUAGUUCAUCAAAAUUUUUGGCUUUGGCGACAUAACAUUUUUAUUUAUAUUUAAUAAUUAUUAUCUAAUAAUAAACUAACUAGGUUUAAAAAACUCGUCUCGCAAAUUAUAGACAAAUAUAUAUAUAUAUAUAUAUAUAUAUAUAUAUAUAUAUAUCCCACCAGACACCGGUCCUUGUGCAGGUAAAUAGUUAGAGAAAGAAGUUUCCUCUCUUUAUUUCAACAAACAAUGUGCAUAAUCAUUAAGCACAGUACAACCGAUUCGAGGCAUGCCCACCGCCACGGGUCUCACUCUACAAACAAUUAACUACAUUGUACUCCCUCCGUCCAAAAGGAAUAUCAUUUUAGAAUUUUACACAUCUUAUUUUAUUAUUCGUCUUAUUUAAAUUUUUAUAUAAAUAUUAUAUAUUUUGUUAAGACCUAUUUUAUUAUUAGAAAUACUUUACUAAUGAUUUAUUUAUUCUAUAAUUUACAUAAAAUUUCUAAAUAAGACGAACGGUCAAACCCUAAACUCUGAUUCCGACUUCGACAACAGUUCGCCUCCCCAGCCCUCCUUUGCCGAGGUAGUCCACCGGAGUUCCCCGACCCACGAGGCCACCUGCACGGCCGGUGUGUCGCGGCCAAGCUGCAACGGAGACCUCAGAAGCGAACCACAUGGAGGCAGGUGCGUGGAGAAAGAGACACAGGCGGAGGAGGAAGUAGCACCAUGGCGCUCCAUAGCAUGCGGCCGAGCACACUAGCUCCGGCACCAGCGAUGGGGGUUGCAUACCCACCCAUCGUCGUCUAGCUAGGUGAGCGCAUCGUCAUGGACUCCAGCGGUGGCGGCUGCCUACCGACACACUAAUGCCUAGGGGACCACGUCCUAGAGGAGCACUGACCGGCACACUAGUGGCUAGGAGACCAGGUGCCACCGUGCCACCAUCGUUGAAUCUCCCCCCCGGAUGAGCAGGGCUGGCGGGAGGUCCUAUCUUGAUCUAAGGGGUCAUGGUGGUAAGAGCAGCCACCCUAGGGAAGCAAGGCUCACUGGCAGCGAGGAAUCCCCAAGGAACUCAAAGACCACUGCCUCAACUACCUCUUGUUCUCCAAGAAGAUUGUUGACGCCCUCUUCACUGCCGUUCCGACAAUGGAUUUUGCCACAUUGCUAGGGACUACCUACGUCGCCGCUCACUGAAACACCACGCCACGGCACAGGGCCAGGCUGGGGUGGCGAACACUGGAUACUGCCAGCUCAUCCACACGUCAAGGAGGCUAGGAAGCCCAACGGACAACACUCUGCCUGACUCGCCCAAGCCAGAGAAUGACUCCACUAACGGGGAGCACGACCCACUACUGCCUGGUCACCCUACUACAUCAUUUAGUGUACCCCAGCCAUCAGCAAAGCAGAAGAGGCCCUAUGCCACUCCCUGAUCACCAUGGUCACCGAUGUCGAGCGGGAACUCUUCACCAUCGACCCCAUUUGAGCCAUCAGGUCAAUGAGUGGAGUGGGUGAAUACUCCUUCUCCGUUGUUCCAUUCUUCCUGGAGCACUUCCUCGUCCACUACAACUCCAAGGAGACUAGUGAUCAGAUCCUUGCGACGUUGGCAACGCCAGUCGAAGGGACCUUCUUUUUCAUGCACCCAUGGACUCGUCUGGCUCAGGCAACCUCCUAAUUGCUACCGUGCAAGAUCGCCAUCGAGCUCGAGGGGAUCCCCACACACAUGGUACGAGGACACCAUGGCCAAAAUCCUAGCACCAUACUACUAGCUUCAAUAAGUCAAGCCGAUGAUGGUGGCUAGAGCAGAUCUAUGCUCCUUCCACAUGAUGGCCUAGACGACGGAACUGAGCAAAAUCCUAAAGAUCAUUCGACUGCUCGUUGCCAAGGACGAGCUGCUGCUACAUGGCAACCUAACAUGGUACCUCAGUAAAGAUGGCAACGGGACCCAAUCUCUGAUUUCCCGCAGGGAAUUCCCCUAUUAGGGGACGAGGAUGGGGAGAAUUUGAUCCCCAUGGGGAAGAAAACGGAGGAAAACUUGUCCCCAAUGGGUCUGGCGGGGACGGGGAUGGUACAGCAUCCCCCGUCCCCGAUCCCCGCUUGGCACAGCGCUAUGUGCUCACACUUGCAGCAUACAAUCUCAUCCGCUCGGCCCGUUAUGGCCCAUCACAGACCAUGUAUAUGCGCUGCAUAUAAAAGCAAGUAAACCUAAGUGUCUAGCUUAUCUGCUCCCCUCGACCCCUCCCUAGUCUCGCAUGCCGCCGCCGCACCACUUGCCUAGCUGAGAGACAUGAUGCGGCACCACCCUUCUGCGAUCCCAUGGUGCCCGACUGCACGCACUCUCCCACCGCUGCACAUCCUUAUGCAAAUGUGCUCCCGUUGUGAGGCUCUUAGUGCCUUGCGGCUGUGAUAGAGUCCCUCGAGAUAUUAGGAAGGCACACUCCACAUCCUUGUGCAAACGUGCUCCGUGCGCCCGUGCUUCAGAUUAAGAAUCAGCUGCUAAAGCUUUGCGUGGAGAUGGUGCCAGGUAUUUGCUUGAAGCGGGCACCAUAGUGAGGCCCUUGGUGUGCCCUACGCCCAGUCACCCAAUGUUAGGUCGAGUCACAAAAGGUAGAGGCGAGAUGCUUAGCAAAAGAUGUUUAUUUAUGCCAUGUAUUUUCUUUAUGCUUUGUUAGACAUGAAUUGCAAUGUUUGUUGACAAAGAACAUGUGAGAAAUCUUUGUGAAUUGAUGUAUGUUUUGAAUUUUUGAUGCCAUGGAUUAGAUUUCUUCCCUCAUCUGUAACCGGGGAUGAGGCCCUCGAUGGGGAAUUUAUCCCCGCCCAGGGACAGGGAUGGAGAGCCAAUCCCUGACAGGGAAUUCCUUGUUGCCAUAUUUAUACCUCACCAACAAGAACAUUCUCUACUACCAGGUCUUGUCCACAUUUGCAACAUCAUUGACUUCAACUCGAGUGACCCAUCGUUGUCCCCAUCCCCGCUGAAGUUCCAAUGACAGCGAUAGUGGACACAAUGGUAACCCUAAUCACCACCACUUCAGCCACAGCCAUGCACCAAGGCAUCACUGCUUCACGAUCCAUCAAGAGGUGAUCUAUGGCGGUAGUGCCUGCAGCGGUAGUGAUGGUCCAUCGCACCAGACUGUUCAGUCCUAGGGCUGUGAUGUCAACACGAUUAGCAGACUAGCUUCAUCGACGUUGGUAAAGCAAAAGCUAUGGUGGAUGGCCAAAGCUGCCAUCCUGUCUGUCCGCUACUCAUCAGUAGAAGUGGACCCAGUACCACCAAGCCUCACCACCGAUAACAUCUGGACCCCAUUGGGGUUUGAUUUUGAAUGAAGUGACGGCUAGGGCCACAAAAUGGAAAGACAAUCGGCCUCAGAUCCCAUGGUCCUUGAGGCUAGACUGUGCCAUGUUAUUAGAUCACCUACAAGACAAGAUGAAGCCCUGCAGUCCCCAUGCCCAAAGUAGUGUUUCCCCUUCAGAGCUACUACUAUGGGAGGAUGCCUAGAAAAGUCAUUGUCCUGAUUGCUGCCACUCUGCUUGAGACUAGGGAGACUGAGAAUGACGUAGGAUGGCCACACCAGCUAUCAUGCGCCAUGUGCAUGGACCCAGAGCUGCUCUUACACCACCAUGAGGAUGCAUUGUAGAAGAAUCGGGCUGAUAUCCCCUCAACCCAUCAGCCCAAGCAUCCAUAGAGCUGCUGCCAACUUUGGUGAGUGGACCAUCAUUGAUGGCACGGACAGGGGCCCAGUUACCUCGGCUGGUGACCUAGACACCAUGGCUAACCCCACCAGUGAGCCCCCAUAGUCGUCUCCCUCCCUGGCACAAAACACCGUCGAGCCUACCUUUGCCAUCGAAACUCAGCUAAACCGAGAGGAUGCCCAGUCGCAUGACACGACCAACGAGGCCGCUAAUUGGCAACCUACCCAAGGGGCAACCCCCAUAUCCUCGAUGGAGGUCAAGGUUGCUAUACCUACCCCACCCUGAAUUGUAGUGCCACGGGAACACAUAAGCAAGUGGCAACCCUCACGCCGAGUAAAGUAGUGAGGCACGUCGAUCAGUUCAAGGCAGACAUCCUCAUUAGCACUACUCAUCGAUCCUCGCUAGCCCACCAAAAUAGAAGCCCCCGAUGAAUCAAACCCACACCCAAACCUAGAGCUCGAGGAUCGUUGUGCAUCCACUAGCACACAUUCUUGCAUCCAAGUGGGGUAAAGCUCUAUUGAUGAAGAAGAUGGGGAUGCCAACAUCAGUGUUGUAGGUCACACUAGGGUCACAACGGGUGCUCGACGCAAUCCGAUCUAGAAACCUUAUCCACAACCAAAUCGCUAUCCUCGAUGAGUUGUUCAUAGUUGCAAACUACAAGGCUAGUAGAGCUACUUGAGGAGUAAUGCUGGUCAACGCUUGAUGCACGCUCGCCACCACCUAGAGUCUUGGCCAUGAAUAAUACAAUCCUCAUAUCAUGGAACGUACGCGGGCUCAACGAGCAAGCCAGGCAGGACAUGGUACGCACGCUCACCAAUGACAUUCAUCCGAGUCUCGUGUGCCUAUAGAAAACUAAACUCAAUGUAUUAUGUGCGAUCUCACUAGCUUAGUCCUGGUGCUUGUAUUCUUGAAUAGGUUUUUCCUUCUCAAUAUAAUGAUUGCGUAAUUCUUUUGUGCAUUAGAGAGAAAAUGCUAUGUUCAAAGGUAAAUAUGAGCCUCUCUUAUUGCCAAGUUCACAUAGUCAUAACGUACCUAAACCUUAUGAACAACGCUAUAAAGACAAUGACAAAGCCAAACAAGCAAAGAAUGAAGAAGGAGACCAAAGUACAAUAUAGAAACCGGUCUAACCUAUUUUUUUAACAACAAUUUGAGUAGGUUUUUGAGGAAAAAAUAAUUGAAAAUCAUGCCAAAUCAUCUAAAAAAAUAAUGAAACUUGGUCCCUACCUACUACCUUCAAUGUGGUUGAGCGCGAACCAAAGAAUUCCUACAAUGUCAUCCUAGAUUAUUGUUGUAUGUUCUAAUGCUUUAGAACCACAAUUCACAACAGCUAACUUUGCAUGAAGCUACUAGGAUCCCCAAAGGUAACAUUGAUUACCAUCUAAGAAAAUCAAAAUAAGGCUUGCAUUUUGAGUAUAUAGCUACACCACACCUCACAAAACCACAUGUUCCCCAAAAUUGUUGGCAAUCUAACGCUAGAGUAUGAUAUGUUAGAGCCCAAGGGCUCAGAAGGCCAAAGUACAUACAAGGAGGCAUCAAGAUCUUCAUCAUCAAUGAAGACCGACCCCAAUGCAUCUUCCAUAUAGAAAUUCAACUACCUCUAAAGACAAAGGACCAAAUUCUAGAUAUAUUCCAUACUAAUAACCUCAAUGCCUUUGCUUGGUCCCCUUUUGGUCUCCGAGGUGCCCACCAAAGCAUCAUUAAAUACCACCUCUACAUCGAGACAAUAACCAAGCUCAUAUGCAUGCCAAAGGCUGUGCAAGAUGUCCAUAGAGCAUGCAUUGAAGAUGCCAAGGAAGAGUUCAAAAAUCUUCUAGACUAGCAUGAUAAGAGAUGUGUGUUGUAGGUGGUAUCACAUGCCCACUGCCCAAGCCUUCUUAUGUUGAGCACCACCGAUGAGCAGCCAUCAUUCGUGGUUUUGUUUAAUUUUCUAGGUGGUGCUUAUUGAUUGAAAAUGACAUGUUUUCGUCACAGAUCAUGUGCAUUGUUUACAUCACCAUUGUGAUGUUGCUUUGGUAAAUUGUGACGAGGCGGUCUUGCCACGGAACUGGACAACAUCAAUGAUGAAAUUUAUUUUGUCAUGAGUUAGCUGAACUACUAAGUCAAACAUCGGGUAUCUAGGUGGCUGGCCUCAUAUGUGGGUAGGGCCUUGUGAAAAGAUGUGGUGACAUGAGUAUAUGGAUGUGUCAAGGAUAUACAUGAACCUAUAUGUGUUAGCUUUAUGUUUCUCAAGGACCUAUAUGUAAAAAAUGAAAUGUGAACCCAAGCAGCAGUUAAUUCAUCCAAUUGCGGAAUUUGAUAUUUAGACUUCGUAUAAAAAUGAUAAAUAAUUAAGUGGUUCUUGUAUUAGAUGGCAGUGUUUGGUGGCUCUAUGCGUAUGUAGGGAGUACUUACUAGUUAAUAAUUUGUGAACGUACUCCUGUAAUACAGUGCAUUCUAGAAAUUUUAAGACAAAUUAAGAAAGAAUAUAAAAGACGCAUGUACCCUCGCUUUAUUUCCUAAUUAGACCCUAUAAUCAACUUGAUUAAUGGUGAUUGGCUGAUAAAUAGAAAGUAUUUAAUGCAGAAUUGGGUUUUGUCCUCUAAAAUACAUUAUAUUCGAGAACAAAUUUUGAAUGUUAGAAUGAACUAUAUUAUAGGAUGGAGGGAGUAGAAGCUAAUAGUGUUGCUCUCAAUCUAGGGUGGGCUUGGGAUGGAUAAUUUGUCGCCAUGGCCAGCGAGAGGGUGGGUUUGGGAUUCAUCUAUCUACAACUAAGGUCAAUCGAUGAAUUAAGGUAACCAUUUACUGCAUGCCAAGAAUAGUAGACAUAGCUAAAAAAACAGGUUUCGAAAUGUAGCCAAAUUUGGAAAGGGAAAAAGAAAAGCAACUUGGUAGUAGCAUUAGUCUUUAAAGUAGUAAUAAGUUAAUCACUGCCAGCAAGAUGUGGCGGCAAAAUUUAAAUCUGAGUUCAUGUAUACUUAUAUAGCUAGUAUGGCCGUUUAUAUAUUUGGUAAUAAUAAUCAGGAGAUUGGUGUGAAAGGGUUUAUAAUAAUAUAUAUAUAUAUAUAUAUAUAUAUAUAUAUAUAUAUAUAUAUAAGUCGUUGGACGUGGCACGACGCGAUUGGCUGAGCCAUGCAUGGCGUCCGUUUGAAACCGCGCAUGUCUCCCGCGCUCACCAUUUCUUAUUUAGCAUUGCUUUAUUACGUACGAGCUGUCAUCAGCUGUAUGCAUGCAUGUAACGGCGGCGCGCGGCUUUGACAGUUGAGGGAAAAAAACAGCAGGGCAGUGUGAGAAAGAGAAACCGAUCGAUCGAUGCAUAUCAUGCUUGUAACCAAAUAACCUGCAGGCAGCUAUAUAUAUGCCGUUGCCGGCCUCUGGUUCUACAAAUACCCAGCCGAUCCCUGCAUCGAAUCGACCAUUCAGCUAGGAUUUCCAUCAGUCAAUCAAUCAAUCAGCAAUAUAAUCUCUGCUUGCAGUUGCAGCUAGGUGUGCUAGAGAGGUAGCAAUGGCGGAAACAGCAGCAGCAGCAGGUGUUACUCUCACCGUCCGCGACAUGCUCUUCUUUUACUGCGACGCUCGCAGCGUGUACGAGCGGUUCAUCGGCAUGGGCAGCCACCCGGAGCAGGCACGGAACGCCGUGGCCCUCUUGCUGUGGCUGGACCAGGUUUUCCACCAGGCCAUGCCCAUCCGCCACCUGCCGACCUUGGACGCCACGGCCGUCGGCAUGGUGGCCAGCGAGGCCAACCGCAUCCUGGACUGCCUCCGCGGCAUGCAGCAGCAGAGCCACGUCGUGCUCCCGCCCAUCCCCUUCAUCUCCGCGCUCUGCCAGUGUCACGACGGCGGCAUGGGCAUCGACACUGCCUUCUUAGCCUUCAACCAGGACCUCGUCGUGCGCGGCGUCGCAGACAUCCUCGACGGCGUCGGCGCCCUUAUCUUCGACGACCGCCUCUACCGCCUGCUGCGCCGCUACCAGACGGGGCUCAUCGGUCGCCUGUCGGAGCUCGAGGCGCCUUACACCUGCAGCCCCGUCACCGUGUCGGAGGACAGCCGCUCCAUGUUCGUCACCUUCUCAAAGGGGCAGCCCGCCGUCGACCGUCAAGAGAUAUUCGACUACUUCAGACAGUAAGCUCGGCCGGUGCUUAUAUAUAUCUUUAUUCAUUUAUUUAUCUCCUCGAUCGAUCGAUCGCCUUCACUUCAUUUGAUUGAUGCAUGCAAAUGCAAAUGCUGAAAUGCAGCAAGUGGGGCGACUGCAUCGUCCGUGUUCUGAUGGAGAAGACGACGACCAGGGGCACGCCGCCGAUGUACGGCAGGAUAAUCUUCAAGAGCGAGGCAUUCGUCAGCCUGGUGCUCAACGGCGAGCACACCGUCAAGAUCACCAUUGGCUACCGCCAGAUCUGGCUCCGCAAGUACAUCCCGCGCCCGCACACCAUCAACAACCUGCAGUGACGAUAUGCAUAUGACAAAUUGAUGGAUCGAUCAUCGAUGAACCAUCACCGCAAAUGUUUUAAGUAGGGUCUAUUAGCUAGCUACUAGCAGUAGUCAUUCCUCUUGCAUUCCUUUCCAUAAACUCUAUAUAUGUAAUAUGUAUGCACAGCUUCAACUCUAUGCGGUUGUCAAAAAAAAUCCACCCUAUGUAAUGUAAUGUGCAUGCAAUUUUCAUUUUGUUUGUUAAAAGGAGAUCGAACACCAUGAAUCAAGAUUAUGCGAGGUUCGCAAUGGGCGCAGUAAUUGAGCUUCUCAAACAACCUAACCUAACUGCAGAAAUUGAUUUGGUGGGGUGACAAUGGAUUGGGAUGGAAACAAACCAAUUUUCACUCCAAUCCACAUGUUUUGAGGUAAAUACAUGUUAGAUGCCCCUGUAUUCGUUCACUCAAUCCAUGUGCUUUGAAGUAAUUUGGCGUGGAAUUUAGUUUAGAUUUCACAUCAAACUAUUCUAACACACUGGAUUAAUUUGAUAUAUGAGUAUCCAAACAAGCCCUUAUGUACUUCUAAUGCAACCUGUUGACAAAACUGCUAUAUAUGUAACGAUCGGUGGUGACAUUAUAAGAGGGGGUGAAUUAUUAUGCCUCUAGAAAAAUAUUUGCUCCAAAACCAACACAAGACGGACCUAUACCAAUAACUAGUUGAAUUCCCCGCGCUUUGCUGCAGGAAUAAGGUUAGAAUUUAGAUGACACUUUAAAGUUAUAGGUAACAUAUUUAGAUAUCAACGGAGAAAAGAUGUGAAUGAGAUGUUGAUAUAUUCCUAAGGAUACACAAAGUCAACAAUUUAAUUUGUGAAUGAUUGGUGACAAAAUUCUUCCUAUGGGUAUAUGUAUAAUCUGUGAGCUUCGAGAAAUACAGGUGGCUGCUGCAAAAAAGCGAAAAAGAUACUCUUAUCAAAUCCUAUAAUACUUCUUAUGGCAUUUAAAUUUCGUCAUCACAAAGGUAAUACUAAAGCACAACAUAGUAGGUCCCUAAUCCAAUUUACCAUCAGCCAUUACCUCACUGUCAAUCAAAUCAUUGGCUUGGAGUUGCUUAAUAAAAAAAGAAGAAAAUAAAGUACCAAUGGCCAGAUGGACUCCAGACUCCACUCCCUUCUGCCGUGAAAUGUUGAACAAAAAAAGGAAAAAAAAAAGUCUACCAGUGGACAGCAAACAGCAUCCACCCGUCUCGAACUGAAAAACUCCCAGGACGUCUUCUUCGCAAACCUUCUCAGCCGCUCAAAAAACUCCGCUGUUGCGGCUUCUCCCAAUGCAAGGGCAGCACUGUAGCAGGUUCCCCUUCUCUCCCUUCCUAUGUGACCCUUUCAACGGAUUGGGCUGGCACCAUCCAAGGUAGGCAGGCAGACACAGGCGCAGGGCAGUCGGUUCACAAAAAAUGAUAGCACAAAAUCCACCUGAUCUUGUGUUCACAAAUAAUGUCUUGUUACAUAUAUGCAUGAUACAACCUUAAAUCCUUGCUACAGACUUAUUUGUGUUGAUCCAUUAACAUGCAAGCAUUGACAUCACACAAAUUUAUUAUACAUAAACUUAACUAAUAUGCUGGCAUUACAUCAACUUGACUAAUUUGCUGGGCAAAAUUUUUGUCUUGUAUGGCUCAUAGUGUGAGCACAUGAGUAAUGGGGUGGUUCGGUUACUGUAUAUGUAGGAGUAACUAAAUUUGGAUUUGCAGGAACAGCUGUAUAUAUCAUGUGCGCUCAUGUGUAGUUCUGGAUUAUCUUUGACAGAGAUGAGUAUGUCCCCACACAUGCACAGCAAACCCCGACCAUGAUGAUGAAUGAGCACGCUGCUACCUGUGAAUCCAAAUAGAUCCCAUUAGUAAUUAGUUGCAUUAGCGUGCAUUUUCUUUUUCUCGACACAAGGUAAGGGACUCAGAUUACAAAGGCCUAGUUCUACCAUGUUUCAAAGCAAAUCAUAUUCAUUUUUUCUUCACCGUCUUUAUGCUAUUUGCCCAUUUCACUCAGGAUACAGCAUUUCUGGUCAUUUGUUCAUGAAACAAUGCAAAGCUAGUAAAUAUUAUUUACAUAUAUUCAUACCUGGUGCCAGCUCACUUUUCUCCUCAGGAUUGCUAAAAAGCACGCACAAGGUAGAAUAUAGGUCUACAAUGAAAACAUGCUUUAGCCUCACAGAUUGAUACAAGGAUUGAACAUCUGAUGAGGUGAACACAGAUCCUUACCACAAGCAUCGUGAGUAAAGAACCAACCAAGGCCAUCACAAGUCCUGUCAAAGCACAAAAACAGAUUGGUAGAUCGUGUCAUGAUUGGGCCUUAUGAUAUUAGUUCAAAAUAUGCUCAUGAGCUUACCAAAGAAGGGUACAGAUAGAGCAAUGAGGAGGGUUGACACCACCAAGGCUGAUCUAAGCAUGACUAUGUUUGAGUACUUCUGUUGAUUUGGUGGCAGCAACUCUUCCAAACUCAUAGCCAGUGGGGUUAUGGUUAAUGCAUAUGUGAUUAUUCGUUAAGGACAUAGCAAGUUUGAGAAUGUCACAAGUAUCAUAAAAAUAAAGAAUUAUCUAGCCAAAUAUAGCUGCAUAAAAGAAUGCUCUGAAAUCUAUUGAGCAAAUAGCUACAGAAACACACUUCCUCUGCUCCAUUUUGAGACUAGACCACUUUCAAGAAAAAAAAUGCACCCGUUCAAAAAAAAACAGUGACAAUAUUAGCACACCAAGGAUAUUUGGUUAUUGGAUUUGCCACCUGCAAUAAAAAAUGAGAGGUGAUAUUAUUGACGUGGUUCAGCAUGAAGGAAUCAAAAUAACUGUAGAUGAGAACUGCUCAUCAGAUAAAAGGACCUAACACCCUCGCCAAAAAAUAAGAGAAAAGUUCCUAAUAAGACCGGUGUCGGCAAGUUUUAUUGUGGCAUAAAAGAGAGAGACACACACCCUACAGCAUAUGAUUAUCCCAUGCACUAAACAAACCAAAAGUUCAGGCCUCUUGACUUCUUAGAAAUGAAAUUUUAAAUGGUUUACGCAGCAACAAUUACCGUGGUCCAAACUGCAAUCUUUGAAACCACUAAAUUCUCUGGUAAGUUCAGUGUGAACUGAGACUGUGUGGCUUCACCAAACAUUUUGUAUCCCAUCACCGCAGCACCAGCAAAUAAAAUGGUAGACAGCCCAAUGCUAACAAGAAAAAAAACAAAUUUUUUAGUGCUGCAUUUCAGGGGGAAAAAGAAUAUGGAAUGUGGAUAAGCUAAUUACCAAGUAAAAAGGAUUGAAGGGAACUGAUUACGGUUCUUCAAAGAAGAGUAGAUGUUUGGAAACACCCCAUGCCCUGAGUAGCAAUAACCAUACAAUCCAAUUGCAAUAGGGAUUCCAGGGAGGUUCAGCGCAGUUCCUUUGUUCUCAAAGUCAACAUUAUCAACAACACCUACCCAGAAUAGGCAGAUGACUCCAAGGAUUGAUGCAAUGACACCUCCAGCUACAAACACAUAAACUUAGUGAGAAACCAUGAGUGGUACACCAAGAGGGAAGAGCAUACGUCUGAACUAAACGCAGGGAAUACACACUGAUUGUGUGGCAAAGCAUUGUCAAACAAAAUGAAAAGCAACAGGUAAAUGGAGACCUGAAAGGUAGCUCAGGCAGCUAAGGUCACGUAGCCAAGUGGUCGGCAUGACUAUGAUGGUAGUCAAGAUUGCGAAAAGUACAUGGGAGUUCACUGUCAAGCUCCCGAUGGUCAGGUGUGCAUUGGGGAAUAAUUUUGAUAAAUUGUCACCUUCCAAUAUCAGAUACUCGAUGCAACAGGCCUGCACAACAGAUUAGGACUGUUACUCUUCAGAAAGAAGGAAUGCUAUUUUAAGUUAGAUUAACCUCAUAAGACCCUAAACCUGCUGUGUAUUCUAUUUUUCUGAUGAAAGAAUGACAGGUUUCAGGCAUGUGAAAUCCAUUGCGCCCUUCAGAUACUGGCCCCAACUUAUGUCACUUCUACUUUGCAAGGUCUUACAAUUGUCUAGGAGGUUGAUAUUAUUUUGCUUCUUGUCUAACCCUAGCAAUUUCAACUUGAAUUAUCACAGCACAAAUUAUUUUGGUUGCCUUACAAUUAUUUUGGUUCCAACUUGAAUUAUCCCAACUUAUGAUUAGCAUGCUUGUGACUCAUGAUCUCAUCCGCAUGUUGAACCAGAGCUGAUGUUUUUGUUUUCUUGUGAUGGGACUUCUUUCUUUAUUACUCUCUUACUGAAAAAUAGCAUUAUAGAGCUUGUUGUGUAGUUACCAUAGUGUUGAUACCUAUGAUUUUUUUUUCCUUCUGUUUAUGUAUAGGAUAUGCAAGUUGUUGGUGCAAAUCAUUUUGUUUCACUAAAUCACUACUUGGAACACCUAAUUCUGAUUGAGAUAGAUGGUUAGCAAUAAACACUUACAUAUAGUUCCACAUACAGGAUUAUCUGCAACAGGAAACCACAAACAAGGAAAAAGGUAAGUUACAACAAAAGCAUUCCUUCAUUCACAUUAUAUUGAAAAUGUGCAGAAAUUGAAUCACAGUCAUUAUUUUUUUACAUACCGAAAUGGCUAUACGACCGGUGGUCCCGAAGGCGGCAUGGCCAAUAUCUGGGUAUGUCUCAAGGCCCUCCUUGCUGUCCAGGCAACGGCGCAGGAGCACACCAGUAUACCAUGCUAGAAUUGCAAAUAAACAGAGUAUCACCAGUCCAAGCCAGCCCCCUUGUUUGAUGGCAUAAGGCGUUGAUAGGAUUCCCACACCACAUAGAACAUUUAUCCCUGCAUAAAAGCAAAGUACAAGCUCAAUGGAGAAACAAGAAAAUUCCCAAUUAAAGUUGCAGGACUUAUCUAUGGUGCAAAAUCUAUUACACCGUUCAGGUUAAAUAUACAUUUAUUACCAAAAUUUCAAAAAACAACAAAGCCUUCGUGUCCAAGCAAGUUGGGGUAGGCUAGAGAUGAAACCCAACAUGAGCCAUCACUAGAAAGAAACAACUAAAAUAAAAUAUCAUAUAUAAAAUGUAAAACGACAUGGUUGAUAAAAAGCCAUCCAAAGUAUAAAUCUAGACCUUACAAAUAAAAGUUAAGCUGCUUAUGACAUUUCUGAUCUAUAACUUUAAUAAAUUAUACGUACCCCAAACUUCAAAAUAGUGACUCCACAGGUAUAAGGGAUAAUAACUAUGGUGAUAUAUCGAUGACCUAUAAAUUUUGAUAAAAGAUAAUUGCAUGGUUGCGCACGCUUUGAGGCCCAACUAUGAGUUUGUCCUAUUUUUUCACUUUGCAGUUUGCACCAUUGCCUCUAGUCAUUUGGAAACAGUAGGGGCAAGGGGGCAAGGGUGCAAGGUGAAAAAAGGAAUGCAAACUCAUAACUAGGCCCCAAGGUAAUAUCAGGUUUGUCCUUCAGCAAAAGUACAGCAUGCAGAUCUAUUUUGUGGGACCACUGACACGCAUGGUUGUGCUGACUGAUCAAGCAUGCUUAAGCAAACAUAAUCCAAUUGCAAUAGGAACAAGGGGAAAAGAAGUAGAAUGUUGAAUUGGUGCAAUAAUCAGGAGAAUAGAGUGUACAGAAGAAAACAUAAUUGACAAUUAUUUCUUUUUUUUUCUUUUUGAGGGGAAAUAAUUGGCAACUCUGGAUGGUUUCUACUUAUUAAAACCAUGAACCACUUACCUAAGUAAAUCUGAUGCAAACAUACGCUGAAGCAAGCAAUGGUUUGGUUCAUGCAUCAAUGCUUAAGCCAGCAUUCAACAAUGGCAAAUAUCACAAGAAUAAUUCAAUGAUACCGAUGAUUGAGGGCCCUAUCUAUCAUGCUGAUUUGAGAAGGCAAGAAAAAUAGCUUGAGGAGAGGCAGACAUGUAUGCAGCCAAACAUGUAUCACAAUUCACAAACAUCAGAAAUCAGUUGCUUACCGUUCACAACCGCCUGAGUGUAAGAGCAUUUAUGAUAGGGAGAGACCUCAUGAGCAACUGGCACUGGCUUUUGAUCCUCAGGAAUCUGUUGCAAAGACGGUUUUCUCGAAGGCAGAAGGUACUGUGAACUCUUUCUUUCUUCAUGCUGCUGCUGAAGGUCAUCACUUGUAGUGGGGCGAAGAAGUGGCUUAACAAGAUUAGAGAUGAUUUCAGGGGUUUUACCCCGAAAAGAAUUGGUGAUGAAAGAGUUGGAUAAUCUGCUUAGAGUUGGGGUCCCCAAGAAGCUCAGAUUUGGUGACUGCACGCUACUAAGAAUGUUGAUGGAUUGCCUGUACAGUAAAAGGAGCCAGAGAAAUAUAUAUGAUUUUGAGGAAAAAGAAAUAUAUGUGAUUGAUUGAUGUGAGUUAAAGAGAGCUGUAAAACUUGUCAAAAAAAAAGAGAGAGAGCUGUAAAGAAAAUCAUGUAACUACUACUUCAGCCAUUCUUGUGAUGGAUCUUGUAAAAAACAUGGAGCACUAAUAGAGAAGCAUAUAAUAGACGCAAACAAAAUGUUGCCGUGCAUGUUGGCGAUCCAGUAUGCAUGUAUGAAUAAUCGAUAUAUAUGGCAGUUCAGUUCAUGUGGAUCUCUAAUCUGUGGAGUAAACUCGUCCUGCCCUGCCCAUGCCUUAUCAUUUCCAUGGGCAACAGAAACUACAAACUAUUGUGAUAGAUUUUCUUUUGGUACCAUGGUAGCACAAAAUAGGUCAACUAUUUUAUUUUGUAUAAGAAUCUGAUUGUGCCUGCAUGUUCGAGAGGGGGGGAAAAUCUGAUUCUGCUGGUGGAACACUUAGUUUUCUUCUACUUUCACAAUUCCAUUUUCUUUUUAAAUUUUUUGGAAAUGAACAAAACUAUGUACAGUUUUGGAAAAGGUCAUGAGGACAGAAUGUUUUGAAAAUGAAGAUGUAUCAGGUGUCUGCAUGUGUUCUGCUGAGGUGGAUUAUCGAAUCUGGCUACUAUGACAGUGGACUGAGCUGAUACCUGGUGAGGGCUCAAUGGAUGUGAUAUGAAAACGAAGGCCUUGUUUAGUCCCUUAGGUGAAAAGUUUUUGGGCACUGUAGCACUUUCGUUUGUAUUUGGCAAGUAUUGUCCAACCAUGAACUCAAACUGUGCAAUUAGUUAUUUUUUUAUCUAUAUUUAAUGCUCCAUGCAUGUGCCGCAAAAUUCAAUGCGAUGAGGAAUCUUGAAAAUUUUUAGGAUUUUGGGUGCAACUAAACAAGGCCGAAAUGAAAUUCAGUGUUGCUGUAUCGGGAUUCAUGGUGGGUACAUGGGUGGUGGGUCAAAUAAAUAGAAAAGGGAAAGGGCGGAUCAUGGGUGUAGGAUAUGCAGAGCAGAGAUGGUAUUAGCCUUAUCAGUGGAUAUGUGGAUUGCGGUGCUGCUAACUAAGUAGGAGUAUUUACAACACACACAAAAAAAAAGAUGGACAUUUCUAGUUUUUUUUAAUUUUUUUUAGGAAAACAGGAGGGGUUUGACCCCCUACUGUGAAUUUAACAUUUCCAGUUAAAUUUACUAUGAAAAUAUGUUAUAUAAUCAAUCAGAUAAUAUGUAUUCGGUAUCAUAAAUGUUUGUAGUUUUUUUUAUAUAUUUGACUGAAGUUGAAACUGUUUGACUCCUCAUUCUUUUGGACGGAAGGGGAGUAUGUAUAAAAUGUAAUGGGAAAUGGCAAGGAAGAGAUUGACCUGUAGCUCUGUGGCCAUUGCUGGGUGUAGGAGGAGGCGGUGGCCUGAGCGUGACCACGCGGGGUGGCGCAGGACGACGAGGAGGAGCCGGAAUCGGAGUCGGAUCCUGAGCCGGAGCCGGAGCCGGAGCCCUCCUCGUGUUGGUGGUGGCGUCUUCUGCUGCGGGCGGCGGCGGCGGAUGGCUGGGAUUGGGGACGGUCGUCGUUGUCGUCGUCGUCGCUCUCGAUGAUGAGGCUGCGCUCAGACACGGAGCUCCUCAUCUUGGGGGCUCAAUCAGUCUGCUCCACUCCACUCCACUCCACGGCUGCUCUCUCUCUCUCUCUCUCUCUCUCUCUCUCUCUCAGUCCCUGCCCCUCCCUAGUCCCUCCGGACCUGAUGAAAAAGGAGCCUGCUUCUGCGCCUGCGUGGACAACACCACUCGUCCACUCCACGCCAGCAGUCCAGCUCCGAGCUACGUAUUCGCUGGUUGGUCGCUCCCUUAUAUACACUACACACAUAUAUAUUAUAUAAUAAUAGAAUGCAGUAAUGUCUUGUUUACUUCCAAAAAUUUUUGGGAAAUCCACGUUGUAGCACUUUCGUUUGUAUUUGAAAAAUAUUGUCCAAUCAUGGACUAAUUAUGCUUAAAAGAUUUGUCUCGUCAAUUCCGAUCAAACUGUGCCAUUAGUUUUUAUUUUCGUCUAUAUUUAAUACUCCAUGCAUGCGUCUAAAGAUUCGAUGUGACGGGAAAUCUGAAAAAUUUUAUAAAAUUUUUUAAAAACUAAACAAGGGCUAAGAAGACAAGAACACAAGGGCCACCUCACCACCCACUUGGCCACCCCACCAACAAACAUGUAGUUCUGCAUUGGCAAUCUCAUCUCAACAUGUAGUAUAUUCUCAUCAUGCAUCAUCAACCGAUUGAGACGUAUUCUUAACUAUUCAGUUAUUCUGAUCUGAUCCCUUAUUCCCUUCCACUGACACACCGAUGAGUGGAGGCUGGAUCUGAAAUCUAUCUCAAGCCGCCUCGAUGGAUGUCAGAUUCAGAUUUGCUUUGCUUCUUCUAGCCUAGCAGACAGAUCGAUUAAUUAAUUCAUAGGAGUAGUUAUUAUUAUUAAACUGGUGAUGAUAGUGAGUGCAAAUUUGCUUUCUCGAUCGAUUCCUUGACUUGCUUGCCAUCGCCCAUCGCUGGCUUAGCAAAAUGGCAAAUGUGCACAUGCCUCGCAUAUCAUUGUCUCGGUCUCUCUCACACUCUCUUACAGCAACUUCAAUGUAUAUGGACCAAGUAGUCCAUAUACAUGGGGCCACAUAAGUAGUCCAUAGCUAUUAUUUUUUGCUCACAAUGUUCAGCCAACAAAGUAGUACAUAAGAUAGGGUCCACUAGAGAUUAAAAAAUAUUGUUUCCAACCAUCUCAUCUUUCAUGACACAAGAGAGAGAGCAUGAAGAGAGAAAAUAACAUUUCUUUAUUGCUUAUGGGUAGUCCGUAGGGCUAUGGGUAGCUUUUGUUAUAGACUGUUAUAUGGACUACCUUCACAAUAUUUCUAUAGACUACUUUCUCCGAACAUUGUGGUUGCCCUUACGGUGGCGCAGACUGGGCCAAACAAUGACUUGUGCUCCCGCCCGGCCCAUCGUAGAUACGGACCGGACUGGAAAUUCUGGUAUUCAUUUAUUUUUACAGGAUGGAUGAAAAUCUGGACUAGUCGUCAUUUCCUUUCGUGAUCAGAAAUCGACAACUAAGAGCAACUCCAACCAUUAUGCAAAUAGACUUGGCAUUUACCAAAAUACAUAAAACUCCAAAAAAAAAACCCUCCAAUCGUUAUGCAUUUGGACUUUGCAUUUUACAUAGCUAUGCAUUUGGAGGGGGAAACUUGGCAUAUAUGUCAAAGGAGUUCGGCUAUGCAAAUAGAGAUCACGGGAUUCUCGGUUCCACCUCGCGGGCUUUUUUCUUCCCUUCGCGCGGUUUCCCUUCGCGCCGCCACCACUUCGCGCGAUAGGAGAAGCAUCGCGCGUCCUCCUUCACCAGCUUCGCGCGCGCGUUUGGACGAAGCAGCGCACAAUAGGACGACGCAGCGCGCGAUAGGACGAAUCUACGACGCAACGGCUUGACUGAUGGCGGCGACCUGCCUUGACGACGAACUGAUGGCGGUGACCGGAAACUGAUGGGGAACAGGAUCUGAUGGAGAUCGAGCCAAGGGGCGAACCUGUACGACGACGAACUGAUGGCCAACAGACGACGAACUGGUACGGUGAACGGGAACUAACGGAACGGGAGAUCGGUACUGCGAUCGGUACUACGAACGAGAACGACGAACUGCGCAGCUCACGAUCGGUACUGUGCGGCUGUUUGGCGCGGGAUCGAUUGGCCGCGCGGGAAGGAGUGCCGCGAAACAAAAUUUCCUGGAAAAAAAGAUGAUGGACUUGGCAUUUUGCAUAACGGUUGGAGAUCACCCGAUUUUAGCCUUGCCAUUUUCAUUUGGGGGUUUGCAAUUUGCCUAAAAUACAUAACUUCAAAUGUAUAAUGGUUGGAGAUGCUCAACCUCGCGGUUGGAUUGAACAAAUGAAAACAGAAAAACGAUCCGAUUUUUCCUAUAUUUAGUAAUAAAGAGGAUUUUAUAUAGGGAAAAAAGAGUUCCAGCAGAUACCAUUUUUACAAAAAAAAAAAGACGUUCGAUCAAAUCUGUCUCCUCUCCGUUGUGGGAAAGGUUCAUCGUGACAUUGUGAAGCUUUGGUUAAAAUUCCACAUUUUUUAGAUUGUUUGAUUUUUUUUUUAUCUUUUUAUCCAAAACCUUCAUGUUCUUUGCCCCUCUAAUCAGGAGGUACGUUGUGACUACAUGGUCUUGGUUUGAGCUACAGGAAAGGCUCGAGUUCUCCCUUGGGACGGGAUUGUUUGGUUCUAAGCCACGUCUAGCUAUAACAAGUUAUGGCAGCAGAAUGUAGCGCCACACUCUGUAACGAAAAACAAAACAUGCAGGUGUCAUGGGUGUUGUGGCUGCCAAAGACUGUGUAUGAACCAAACACUAGCCUAAUUAAUGAUGGCGAGCCAUAGAUGUGGCAAGGCUGAGGCCUUGUUUAGAUCCAAAAAUUUUUUAGAUUUUAACACUAUAACACUUUCGUUUUUAUUUGACAAACAUUGUUCAAUCAUAGAGUAACUAAGCUUAAAAGAUUCGUCUCGUGAUUUACAGAUAAACUGUGCAAUUAGUUAUCUUUUUUUAUCUCUAUUUAAUGUUACAUGCAUGUGCUACAAGAUUCGACGUGAUGGGAAAGCUUGUAAAUCCCGUGUAUUCCCCUUUUCGGUCCUUCACUUAGUCCUUGUUUACUUUCACCCAAAAAUCCAAAAUUUUUCAAAAUUCUCCGUCACAUCGAAUCUUUAGACGCAUGCAUAGAGUAUUAAAUGUAGAUAAAAAUAAAAAUUAAUUGCACAGUUUGGUCGAAAUAUACGAGACGAAUCUUUUGAGCCUAGUUAGUCCAUAGUUGGACAAUAAUUACCAUAAACAAACGAAAGUGCUACAGUGUCCCGAAAUUUUUUUCCUACUCACCAACUAAACACGGCCUUAUCUUGUAAGCAUAUUCUCCUCUCACCCUCUUCUCAUAUAGAUAGCACACAUUGUUUUUACCACCUAUGCAGUUCUCCUAUAUGUCUCAUUCAACGCCUAAAAGAGCCUACACGUUAGUUCUCAUGAGAUGCAAUAGGAGAAAUGUGAAUCCUAGAAAUUCCCACAAAAUUUUAGAAACAUCUAGCAGCCAGCUAAACUUUGUUAAUCGUUGACAAAAAUGGAUAUUGGAUCUAUAUUCACUUGGCGCUGAACUAAUUGGGCGCAAUUUUAGCCGGCCCGUUGGCCGUUGGGUAUAUAUAUGGUUUGUGCUACAGCACACGCGAAAGUGGAAUAUGUACUAUAUAUAUAGGUAGCCGGGAAAGCAUCAUCAUUGUGACGAAUAUAGUUGCAUUGCAUCUUUCCAUGCUGCUAUCAUGUUGUUGUUAUACUUAGACGAGACAGACACACACAAAUGGAUUGUGAAAUACAGCGCGCUGUGUGUAGCAGCUUGUUGGCAGCCAGAUGGCUGAUCCUCUGCUUGUCUUGAGGUUCAUCAGGGUGGGGCGGAGCGGCAUCUCUGGAGACUAGUGGAGCUGUAGUGUGCAGGGACCUGCGCUGACGACGACAUGGCCAGACGAAGCUGCAGCAGGUAGCAAUGAAAACACCAUGGAUAGAUACAUUUUUUUAUUACUCAUGGAUAGAAUGGAAUGAUGCAUACAUUGAGCUCCUGGUGCUGCUUGAUGAGCAUCUCGUUCUCCCUGCGCAGCUGCGCCAGCUCCAGCUCCAGCUCGUUGGUGUAGGCCUGCCUCCGGGCACGCGACCUGGCCGCCGACUCACGGUUCUUGAUCAUGCGCCGCUGCCGCCUGCUAUCUCCAGCAGCAGCGGAGCUGAUGCUCUGCUUCUGCUUCGUCAUGGUCUGGUACUGGUACUGAUCGGCCGGCGCGAAGGAGAAGACCAUCAGGUCGCGGGAGUCGUCGCCGGAUGUGGAGGACCCGCCGCCACCUCCUGACCCUGCCCCUGCCCCUGCCCCACCGAGGUAGGUGAACUCGAGGGUAUUAGAGCUCAGGCUCAACGUCGUCGUUGGCGUGGGGGGCUGCAGCGGCGACGAGAAAGAGGGCGGUGAAUGGGAGGCACCAGCACCAGAAGGCGACAGAUGAUGCUGGUGGUGACGGUGGCUGUACAGUGCGCCGCCGCCGCCGGCGGCGGGUGUCAUACUGAUAAGGGAUGGCUGUAGGGACAUGUAGUCCUUCCACACCUCCUCCAUGGCAGCGGCUGGCUCUCGGCUACACUGCUGUGCUGUGCUGUGCUGUGCUGUGCUGGUGUGGCCGGUGAAACUCUUCUACCUUCCUCCUAUUAUAUUAUUUUGAGGAAGACUCCUACGGUUUGCUACUAGCACACUGCACACAUGGACAUACAUAGUAGGUAUGUAGGAUACCGUCGAUAGCACGCCCUCUUCUCCACCGCUACUUCAGUAGCACUUCUUUUUAAGGAAUGAAUAAUGUUCUCCUCUCAUAAUAUUUUAGCAUCAAUAUAAGUCAAAUUUUAACAAAUAAACAUUUAUUACAGACUUAAAAUCCUAGCAUGAUUAAAUCCAAUAAACAUAUAAAAAUAUCCUAGCAUAAUCAAAUCCUUCGAUAGACAUAGUCUAAAAACUAAAUAUAAGGCAAUAAUCUUUAUUGUCUAAUUAAGCCUAAUUUCAAGUUAAGUUGUUGGGCUAUAUAUCCCAACAGCUCAUAUUAAAAUAAUACAAAGACAACUAUGCAAAAUGACUCAGUGACGCGUCAAUUCUACACAAAUCUUAUACUCACUCCAUCCACAAAAGAAUAUAGGGAUUAUAGUAUUCAUGUCCGUUAAAAUAGUUCAAGUUUGAACAAGUUUGUAGUAAAAAAAAUAUUCACAUUUAUGUCUCUAAACCAGUUUAAUCAUUACAAAAAUAUCUUAUAAUUAAACUAAUGAUACAUAUUUUGUAUCAUACUUCUUUUGUCUUAAAAUAGAGUGCAUUGUGACUUUUAAAAUUUUUAUUGAAAUACAUUGCAUUCAAUUCUACGUAAUGACUAUUUUUCAAUUUGGCAAGGUUUGUUAAAAAAGGAAGCUAUUGAAAUAAUCUAUGUAUACAUUUGCCAUUUGGUUUUCGGAAAAGCAAGAAUUGUAUUUUUUUUCUUUUAUAUGGACGAAGCGAGUAAGUACGAAAACCUAUGACCCAGGUUGCGAACUUGUCAUGAUGCACGGCCUGUGUGAUGGCAGCCAGCUCAAGCUAAGGGUCUUGUUUAGUUUAAACCAAAAAUUAAAAAAAAAUUCAAAGAUUCUCCGCCGCAUCGAAUCUUGCGGCAUAUGCAUGGAGCAUUAAAUAUAGAUGAAAAUAAAAACUAAUUGCACAGUUUGUCCGUAAAUCGCAAAACGAAUCUUUUAAACUAGCUACUCCAUAAUUAAACAAUGUUUGUUAAAUAAAAAUAAAAGUGCUACAGUGUCAAAAUCUAAAAACUUUUUGGAUCUAAAUAAGGCAAAAGCACAAACCACAAACAUCCCUUGUUCGUUUGGCUGAUAAAUCAUAACAGAAGUACUAUUCAUAGAUUUAUUAUAAGACAAAAACACUGCUUAAUGGUUAAAAAAUUCGACUACUAAACUCAAACGAACGGGUAUUUAAAUGACAAUGCAAAAGGUGCACUACAGUUCUAACCUACUGAAUGACAAUGCAAAAGCAGCGCAACUUUGGCUUAUUUAUCAUAGCAAAGGAUAGCAGUAGUUAAUAAAAAAUUUCAGCAUUCGCAGAUCGGACACCUCGGCAGUAGCAUUGCCAAUUUUAAUGUAUAUGAGCCUAUCCGAAAUUAUUUAUCAAAGCAAAUGAUAAUAAUAAUAAUAAUAAUAAUAAUAAUAAUAAUAAUAAUAAUAAUAAUAAUAAUAAUAAUAAUAAUAAUAAUAAUAAUAAUAAUAAUAAUAAUAAUAAUAAUAAUAAUAAUAAUAAUAAUAAUAACAACAACAACAACAUAAUUUGAAGAAUAAACACCUCGGUAAAUAAUUAUUUAUCAUACCAAAAGAGUUUCAUAUAGAUAAAACUCAUUUCUUCUCUCUUUUUAAAUACAUCGUCCUGUCAUAAAAAAAGACAUAUGUAACAACUUAUUUAGUAUAAAUAAAACUCACAUUAGAACUGGUGUAACCAAUAAUAAUGUGUGGUAGAGUAGAGAGUCCGAGUCCGAGUCCGAGUCCGGCCUGCAUGCGUCGUCGUCGUCGCGCCCGGUCCCGGCCCGGCCGCUGGUAUGUCCUAUUGCCCUGCCGCCGAGGAUGGCCUUGGUUUGGCCGGGCCCGGGUGCCACUGCCAUUGCCAGGUGCCAGCCAUACUGCAAUGCCAUACUAGUAUACUGUAUAGAUGAUGACAACACUAGUGCAGUCUGCAGCGUGGCACAGGUAGAGUGUUUUGGUACCUGCUACAGUGCGUGCAUGCGUUGGCUCCUGCGUGCGUCUGCAUGCGGCCAGCCAGUCAGAGCGCUCGCCUUGGGCCUCGUUUACUUCCAAAAGUUUUUACAAAAUAUAAAUAGUAGCACUUUCGUUUGUAUUUGACAAAUAUUAUCUAAUUAUAGACUAACUAGGCUUAAAAGAUUUGUCUCGUCAAUUCCGACCAAACUGUAUAUUUAGUUUUUAUUUUCAUCUAUAUUUAAUACUCCAUGCAUACGUCUAAAGAUUCGAUGUGACGAGAAAUCUGAAAAGUUUUGCAAAAUUUUUGGGGAACUGGCCUUGUUUACUUUUAAAAAGUUUUGCAAAAUAGGAAUAGUGACACUUUCGUUUGUAUUUGACAAAUAUUAUUCAAUUAUGAACUAACUAGGCUCAAAAAAUUCGUCUCGUCAAUUCCGAUCAAACUGUGCAAUUAGUUUUAAUUUUUAUCUAUAUUUAAUACUCAAUGCAUACGUCUAAAGAUUUGAUGUGACGAAAAAUCUGAAAAAUUUUAUAAAAUUUUUCAGGAACUAAACAAGGCCUAAACAAGGCCUUGGUGCUUGUAGUUUGCUGUGCCCUCGUCAGUCCAGCCGCAUGCCUGACCAUUAGGGUUUAUGCCCUGUUUAGGUCUCGUUUACUUACAAAAUGUGAAUAGUACCAAUUUCUGUUUGUAUUUAAUAAAUAUUGUCCAAUUAUAGACUAACUAGGCUCAAAAGAUUCGUCUCAUCAAUUUCGACUAAACUGUGUAAUUAGCUUUUAUUUUUGUCUAUAUUUAAUACCUCAUGCAUACGUCUAAAGUUUCGAUGUGACGGGGAAUCUGAAAAAUUUUACAAAAUUUUUUGGAAACUAAACAAGGCCUUAGUUUCAAAAAAAAUUGCAAUUUUUUUCAUAUUUCCUGUCACAUCAAAUUUUGCAACACAUAUUGCACUGUAAAUUGUGAGACAAAUCCUUUAAAUCUAGUUAAUUCCAUGAAUGGACAAUGUUUUUCAAAUACAAACAAAAAUACUACAGUAUCAAAAUCUAAAAAAAAUUACAUCUAAACAAGACCAUGUACAUCUCACUUUUUAAGGAGCCAAUAUAUACAAGCAAUACAAGCUCAUCACACCGAGGUCCACGUCGUCCGGCCGUUCAAAAUACGUACUCGUAUAUAACAAAUUAUGGUAUUUCAUUAAACGCAACGUUCGUUGGUUUAAAAUGAUAUAGCUGAAAUUAUUAUUGUCUGAUUUAUUAUAAGAAAAAAUAUUGUUGACUGAAAAAAAAAGUACCAACAAAAAAACGUGCUCUUCCUACUAUGUACCUUCGUCGAAAUCUAGUCUUGUUUAGUUGAAACCAAAAAGUUUUCAAGAUUUCCCGUCACAUCGAAUCUUGUGACACAUGCAUGAAACAUUAAAUAUAGACAAAAACAAAAACUAAUUACACAGUUUAGCUGUAAAUCACGAGAUGAAUCUUUUGAUCCUAGUUAGUCUAUGAUUGGAUAAUAUUUGUCACAAACAAACGAAAGUGCUACAGUACCGAAAACUUUUCACUUUUUGGAACUAAACAAGGCCCUAGCAUUAUUUAUUUGUACACAUACGCCUUGCAUUAUUGCAGCCUGCAAUUUGCAAGGUUGCACAACUCAUGGCUAGCUACGGGUACUGGCACCUGGACCUGGCACUGUAUACUACUAGUACGUCAUGUGUGAGCUUUGAUGCAUCGUGUUUUCCUUGCAUGCAUUGCAUAUGCAUGGACACGUACGUACGGAUCCACUGUAUGUGACCAUACAUCAUGGACAUGUACAACGCACGGAUUCCCCCUAGGACUCGUAGUUUCAAAAAAAAUUACAAAAAAUUUUAGAUUGGUCGUAUCAAAUCUUACAUUAUAUGUAUAAAAUUUUAAAUAUAGAUAAAAAAAUAACUACUUGUAGUUUGUGAGACAAAUUUUUUAAACUUAGUUACUCUAUAAUUGAACAAUAUUUAUUAAAUAAAAAAAAUACUACAGUAUCUAUUUUGUAAAAUAAAAUUGAAACUAAGUAAAGCCUUAGUAGGCACAUCUAUCACAUGCAGGUUAUGAUACGUACUAUCCCUGUAUGCAUGUGACUCGCGUGCCGUAACGUACAAUCACAGUGCACGACAUGCCAUCGUUUAGUUCACGAUUUUUUUUGUCUGGCUAUUUGCCAAUUAUUGUUCAACAAUAUACUAGUUAGAUUUAAAAGAUUCAUAUCAUAAAUUACAUUUAAACUACACAAUUAGUAGUUUUUUAUUUAUAUUUAGUGCUCCAUAUAUAAGUCUAAAGAUUCGAUAUGAUAAAAAAUCUUAAAAGAUUUUAAAACUAAGAAGGUAUUUAGUUGAGGAUGUUAAAAUUCAAUAGUUAUUGUAGUAUUUUAGUUUUAUUUGAUAAUUAAUAUUCAAUCAUUAACUAAUUUUACUUAAAAAAUUAUAUCACAAAUUAUUUCUCUAACUAUAUUUUUAUUUUUGUAAAUAGUUUAUAUUUAAUACUCGAUAUAUAUAAAAUUUAACCACACCAACUAAACCAGUAUGCUCCUUCACAGUGGAGAGACGUGCGUACGGUGGCCUUGCCGGCGUACCCCAGUAUAGCAGCAGCAGCAGCAUGCCUACUACUGUAAAGGUUAUAGCAGCAGCAGCCGCCGCAGAAACAACUUUCCUUGUGCCUUGUUUUAGUUUUAAAUUUUUUUGCAAAAGAAGCACAGUAGUAUUUUUAUUUGUAUUUGAUAAUGAUUAUUCAAUCAUAGACUAAUUAGACUCAAAAGAUUUAUUUCACAAAUUACAAAUAAGCUGUAUAAUUAAUUAUUUUUUUUUAUUUAUAUUUAGUGCUCCAUGCAUGUACUACAAGAUUUAAUGUGACGGAGAAUCUAAAAAAAUUUGCAAAAUUUUUUGGAACUAAGGCCUUGUUUAGUUCACCCAAAAAAUUAAAAAGUUUUUAAGAUUCUCUGUCACAUCGAAUUUUACGGCACAUGCAUAAAACAUUAAAUAUAGACGAAACAAAAAACUAAUUAUACAGUUUGACUGUAAAUCAUGAGAUGAAUCUUUUGAUCCUAGUUAGUCUAUGAUUGGACAAUAUUUGCCACAAACAAAUAAAAUUGCUACAGUAGCAAAAUCCAAAAAAGUUUUCACAUCUAAACAAAGCUUGUUGAUAAGUUAUGAUAGAAAGUAUUGUUGAUAAUUUUUUGUGAGAGAAAAACACUGUUGAAUAGCUUGCAUAUUCAACUAAUAAUUGGCCUUGUUUAGUUCCAAAAUAUUUUGCAAAAUGUGAAUAGUACCAAUUUCGUUUGUAUUUGACAAAUAUUGUCCAAUCAUAGACUAACUAGGCUCAAAAGAUUCGUCUCGUCUAUUCCGACCAAACUGUGUAAUUAGUUUUUAUUUUCGUCUAUAUUUAAUACUGCAUGCAUACGUCUAAAGAUUCGAUGUGUCGGGGAAUCUGAAAAAUUUUGCAAAUUUUUUUGGGAACUAAACAAGGCCAAACUCAAGGGAACAGGCUGCAUACUAGUAUAUGCAUGUUUAUAACUCUAAAUCAAUUUAUUAUGAAUAUAUAUAUAUAUAUAUUUAUAAUUAAUCUAAUAAUAUUUAUUUGCUGAUAUCGAUACUUUUAAUCUGUAAUUAGUUAGACUUAUAGUAAGUCCUUGUUUAGUUGUGAAAAGUUUUUGGAUUUUGAUACUCUAGUAUUUUUGUUUAUAUUUGACAAUUAUUGUCCAAUUAUAGACUGACUAGACUCAAAAGAUUCGACUCGUAAAUUACAAACAAAUUGUGCAAUUAGUUUUUGUUUUUGUCUAUAUUUAAUGCUAUAUGCAUGUACCACAAAAUUUGAUGUGACGAAAAAUCUUGAAAAGUUUUUAAAUUUUGGAGUGAACUAAACAAGGCCUUAGACAUAACACCAUGCUAAAAUUGUAUUAAUCCUUGGACGUGAGUGAGUACAAGUCACAACUCACAAGAGGUUCCGUAGUCAGAAUCCGAUGGCGUGGUGGAUCUAGGACGAGGCAGGGUGCGGGUAGGUGAGGUGGCACGGUUUAUAUAUAGCGAAUAUAAAAACACACAUCACAGCAAAAGCCUAAAGGCAAAACGCCAAAUUUACCGACUUUUCCAAGGGUGAUCUGAUCUCUACAAGAUGAAUUUGCACCAUAUAUAGGCUCUAACGUGGCCUCUAAUUUUCCCAUCUUUAGUGAAACAUCCUGCACCUACUUAUUUCAGAGUCUUCGUCCUGACUCCUGAGAUGUACGUCUUGGUGUUUUAGCGGUAGCUUAAUUCUCCAUCAGCGGCGCUGCCCCUGCCCCACUCUCGCAGGGACCUCAAUCGCCCGCCCCACUGCCGCGUCCUCCUCCACUUGUCCAUCUUUUUUGUGAAGCUAAAGUAGGCCUUGUUUAGUUCACCCAAAAAGCAAAAAGUUUUCAAGAUUCCCCGUCACAUCGAAUCUUGUGGCAAAUGCAUGAAGCAUUAAAUAUAGACGAAAGCAAAAACUAAUUACACAGUUUAACUGGAAAUCGCGAGACGAAUCUUUUGAUCCUAGUUAGUCUAUAAUUGAAUAAUAUUUGUCACAAACAAACAAAAGUGCUACAGUACCGAAAUCCAAAAUCUUUUCGGAACUAAACAAGGCCGUAGUAGCAAAGCUAGAGGAAAUCGGUUAUAUGUGUAAAAAUUUAAUCUAUAAUCAUAAUAAAAAUAUAUAUUUUAAUAGUGUUUUUUCAAAAUUUUGCCCACGCUGUAUGACCAUAUUGACUGAGACUGUUUGUUGGUUAAAAGUCAUAACUAAAAAUAAUGUUCACUGAUUCAUUAUAAGAGAAAAACAUCGUUAACUGAUAAAAAAUGUACGACUUAUGAGAUAAGCGAAACAGAGCGUGAAGAUCUUCGACGACGACGGUGAUGGCGUUGCAGGCUGCUCCACGUAGAGUAGCUGCGUUGCACUAUACAGGCUUGGGGAUCGAAUCCAACCGCUCGAGGAUGCUCCCAGGAGGAUGUUGGUGAAAUGCACAUUCAGCCGAAGCUCGCACUACAGUCGCCGUUAUGCGUUGUCUCGUCUUCGCCAUCCGCUGACCAAGUCACGAGAGCUGCCGACGACGCCAACGCCCGCGGCCCAACAUGUCACUUUCGUUCGAGUUUCUCUUUCCUCGCUCUGGACUGGACAUCGUUAUGGCAAUUUCGUUUGAGACUGUCAGACGUCAGUGUAUGCCUUCUCCUAGCAUGGCGUUUUCUUCCUUCCUUUUUGAGGCCCCUGACAUAUAUCCCCUCCCCCUAAUGGACUUUAGCCCCUAUUACAUUGGAUAUUUAUAUAGACACAUAAUACAUAGAGUAUUAAAUAUAAAUUAAAAAUAAUUAAUUGUACAGAUUGUGACUAAUUUACGAGAUAAAAUGUUUAAGCCUAUAUAGUCUAUGAUUUGACAAUAUGGUGCUACAGUAAACAUGCUACUAAUGAAGGAUUAAUUAGGCUUCUAAAAUUCAUCUCGCAUAUUACUAAGUACUUCUGUAAUUUAUUUUGGAGGAUGUUUUGAUGGAUUGGAACGGCAAGACUUUUAUCCCUAAUCUUUUUUCUGAGAAACUUUUAAUCAUUCAAACUUUACAUCUUGAUAUUUAGAUGCAUGUUAAAACUUUAGCCAUGCAGAUAUAGCAUGUGCCCGAUAAUGUUUUUGCCUAGUUUUGGCCUCUUCAGUACUAAAUGCCAAAAGUUUAGCAGCCCAAGUUUUAUUUUUUUGCCUAUGUUAUUUAGAUCUAUUUUUACCAAAAGAUGGAGUGAAGUAACAAAAGUUUUGACAAAAGAGGUAAACUAAACAUGUUCUUAUUAUUGCUAUCCAAAUACCCGACAUGGCACUCUCACAUUUAAACUUUAGGCCCUCGAUUGGAUUUUAAUAAACACUUUUAAACACCCCUAGGUGCUGCUAUCUCCAAUAGGCACCUUUCUGCAAUGUCAGCUCACUACUUUUUCUUUUCACGGGGUGUUUGAUUGGAGAUGUUAAAGUUUACUGUAGCUCAUUCGUUUUAUUUGACAAUUAGUAUACAAUUAUAGACUAAUUAGGCUUAAAAGAUUCGUCUCGCAAAAGUCAUAAAAAUCAGAUAUAAGUUAGAAACCAUGUCUAUAAAGAACUAACACAUGAAGUGAUGUGAUUGGUAGAGAACGGAGAGAGAAUGUAUGUGAUUGGAUAAAAAAUUAUUUCUUAAAAACUAUUCAUUGAGAUCAUAGUUUUAUUUUAUAUGUAGUGUGAAAGAUCCUAAUGUGGCUAGAGGGGGGGUGAAUAGACUAUUAAAAAUCUACAAAAUCACUAGAGCAAUAGAUUAGUAAAAAACAAAGCGAAAGCUUUUUGCUCUAGCUCUAAAAGAGGUGUUUGCAAGCCACCUAUUCAACAAUUCUAGUUGAUAUGAUCACUAAGCAUACAAAGGCUAUGUCACUACAAGCUAUACUAGUGAACUAAGCUACACAAGACAAAGUGAGCAACUAAACUAAUUACACUACUUCGCGGUAAGUAAAUGGAGAGGAUGAGAUAUUUAUAUCGCCGUACAGGGGAUGAACCAAUUACCAAUAUAUGAAUAAUCAAGCACCGGGAGAAUGCCAAUCAAUCACAAUUGAGACACUGAUUUUUCUCCCGAGGUUCACGUGCUUGCCGGCACGCUACGUCUCUGUUGUGUCGACCAACACUUGGUGGUUCGGUGGCUAAGAGGUGUAGCACGAACCUCGUCCUUACUAGAACACCGCAAGAACCGACCCACAAGUGAGGUAACUCAAUGACACGAGCAAUCCACUAGAGUUACCUUUCGGCUCUCCGCCAAGGAAGGUACAAGACCCCUCACAAUCACCGGGAUAUGGCCACGAACCAUUACCAACUCGUGCCAAUACUCCUCCACCGCUCCAAGCCGUCUAGGUGGCGGCAACCACCAAGAGUAACAAGAAAACCGUAGCCAAAUCGAUCCCCAAGUGUCACUAGAUGCAAUCACUCAAGCAAAUGCACUUGGAAUCCCUCCCAAUCUCACAAAGAUGAACAAUCUAUGAAGGAGAUGAAUGGGAGGUGUUUGCUUAGGCUCACAAGGAUGUUAAAUAUGCUAGAAUGCCAAGAGGGUGAGCCCCAAGCCGGCCAACAACUAUUUAUAAGCUCCUCAAACAAAUAGAGCUGUUGGCUCUUUCACUGGACAACAGUCGAGGCCACCGGACGCUCAAGCAGGAGGCACCGGACGCUCAACCCUUACGUCCGGUGCUCCAGAAACAGCCACGUGUCAGCUCUUUGAAUUACACGCGUUGAACUCCAACGGCGCUCAAGUUAGCACCGGACGCGUCCGGUGAACACAGAUCUCAUGCGCAGAGAGGUCUGCAAACGCGCGGGAUCACCGGACGCGCUCCUGAGCAUCCGGUCCCUUACCCAAAGAACAUUGCAAAUGCGCAAGGACACCGAACGCGCACCACCGGACGCACCCUGAGCGUCCGGUGCUCUCAGUCAGAAACACCUAAAGAAGUCAGGCAGCACCGGACGCACCAACAGGGUUUAACCUACGUCCGGUGCCUAGCGUCCGGUGCCGAACCCUAACAGGGCCAGGUACUGAUAGUACACCGGACGCGCAGCCCCAGCGUCCGGUGCCUAUGCAGUCAGCGUCCGGUGAGUAUUUCUUAGCGAGAAACACUCCCGCAACUUCUCUAAAUUUCCCACCGGCGUAAUAGAAAAUAUGCAUUUCAUUUACUCAAAAGCGCCGAAUCCCGCCGAACUUGAGAGAGGAACCCAAACCCCUCUCUACCCUUCAACCUCAACAUCCUUCUCAAAGUGUGCCAACACCAUCAAGUGUGUAUCAACAAGUGAACGUGUGUUAGCAUUUUCAUAAUCAUUUUCUUUGAAGGAGUUAAGUUAGCUCACUAGGUUCUAAAUGCAUGCACAUGAAUAAUGACACCUAGUGGCACUUGAUAACCGCUUAGCCAAAGAAUUUUUCUCUUUAUAGUACGACUAUCUAUUCUAAAUGUAAUCACACCCUCUAUGGUGUCUUGAUCACCAAAACCAAAACCCUAAGCAAUACCUUUGUCUUGAUCUCCAUAGAGUUUUGUUUUUCUCUUUCUUCUUUUCCAAGUUGAGCACUUGAUCAUCUUGUGGUCAUCACCAUCAUCACCAUGAUCAUCUCUUGAUCCAUCAAUUGGCACGUACCAACCUCAUUAAAUCUACACACACUUAGUAUAGAGAUUAGUAGUAGGGUUUCAUCAAUUAUCCAAAACUAAAUUAGGGCUUUCAAUAUAUGUUACACGUUUCAAAUAACCCAAAAUAUGGCAACAUAACACCCUGUAGAUUCUUAACACAGACUUUGACGUAGGACCACAAUCAUUAGUUAGCUCAUUAACACAUAGGAAACAAUGGAUAAUAUAUCGUGGAAUAUCACAUAGUUAGGCCUUGUUUAGUUUCCAAAUUUUUUCAAGAUUUCCCAUCACAUCGAAUCUUGCGGCACAUGCAUGAAACAUUAAAUAUAGACGAAAACAAAAACUAAUUACACAGUUGCCUAUAAAUCACGAGACGAAUCUUUUGACUCUAGUUAAUCUAUGAUUGGACAAUAUUUACCACAAACAAACGAAAAUGCUACAGUAGCGAAAUCCAAAAAAUUUCGUCAACUGAACCAGGCCUUACUCCACCAAAAAUUCAAAAAACAACAUAGAACGUGAAUACGAUAGAAAAAGAAAAUACAUCGUGUGGCCUGGGCCUCAAGACGGAUGGUCGCACUAGCUAGCUACAUGCUGCGGCAGGCCGGGCUGCACAUCUCAAUUGGGCUACCUCGCAUGCUUGCGCGUACGGAACUAAUGCGAACUGCUAUUACAUUGCGGGAAGGAAAUACUCGUCCGGCCCACCACUUUCGUUUCCGGUUGGCCAUGCGAAAAGAAAAUUUCGCUACUGUAGUAUUUUCGUUUGUUUGUGACAAAUAUUGUCUAAUUAUAGACUAACUAAGAUCAAAAGAUUUAUCUCGCGAUGUGAUGGGGAAUUUUGAAAACUUUUUGGUUUUCGGGAUGAACUAAACAAGGUCUCAGCUCGUCCAUUGUACUUGAAUGGAAAAAGUCUACUUUUUCUCACCUAACUUCAUGAUCAUCCGUUUUUUCUUCCUUAAUUUUAAAACGGGGUAACCAUCUUCUUUAAAUUGCUUAAACUUAUUAGCCAAAUUUAUUAGUCAUUCAACAAUAUUUUUUCUCUCAUAAUAAAUCUGUCAACAGUACUUUUUGCUGUAAUUUAUCAGCCAAACGAACAUAAAAAAAUUUAUAAAAAUUUUUCAGGUUGCAUUUGCAUUCCGCUGCGUGGAUGUGCAUUGGCAGCAUUGCCUUUACUCCCCGGCCAGUAGCGGUAGCGUAGCAGAUCUGUGGGUGGAUUGGGCGCUGCACUGCAAUUGGAUCGCCGGCCGGCCAUCGGAGCCGGUACAUCUCUGCACGUCUGCAUGCAGUCACCAGAGACAAGAGAGAGAGACGGGCAGUCGUCGUCAGUUGUUGUUGACAUGUCAAUUUUUUUUUAUUCUUUAUUACAUCUUGCGGUACAUAUAUAGAUCAUUAAAUAUAAAUAAAAAAUAAUUAAUUGUAUAGUUUAUUUGUUAUUUAUGAGAUAAAUUUUUUUAGCUUAUUAGUCCAUAAUUGAACAAUAUUUAUCAAAUAUAAAUAAAAUUGCUAUAGUGUUUAUUUUGCAAAAAAAUAAAAAUAAAACUAAACAAGGCCUCAUUGGCAGCUUAAUUACUUGCAGAGCAGCGUCGCACGUUAAUUAACUGUACUACAUAUAUACGCCUGCAGCAGUUGCUUGCCCUAGGUUUAAAGCAUUUCAAUUCAAGAAUGUACUACUGGUCCGAUCGAGCACUGCAGUCCCAUGUUCUAUCCGCGUUCGAUUUCUCAUAAAUAAUUUCUUUCAAACAUUUGCCAUUUGCAUACAUGUUCAUGUCUUGUUCGGUAGUGCUGCUUAGAUUUCUCUCCAAGCAGAGAAGUCAUGAAAAACCAAGUUUUUCACUGCGACUUUGGUUUCUAGGCGAAAAUGGUUUUCAGUUUUAUUUUAUGGAUUUUGAGCGCAAGCUCCGCCUCUGCUUGGAGCAAGAGAUCACAUCUUCGACUUUGCCUUCACCAUAAAUUUGGAGCGAAGGGUCAUCUACAACAUACAUCUGUGACAACAGGCACGCCUAUAUGUCAUCUACUUCAAAUACGUAAAAAAAUCUCUAACAAGCACCAGCCAAGAGAGGUUGUUGUCGAGGACCGCAUUUGGACAAUAAAUCCGCCCAAAGACGUGAGCCUUGCCUAGCGCCCGUGUGUGAAAGUUUGAAGACAUUGUGACCGUCUACAUCAACCAUUCAAUAGUAUUUUUCUAUCGCAAAUCAGCAAACAAUAUUUUCAUUCAUAGCUUUUCGCACAAAGCGACACAGGCAUUAACUACUUCGCUUACUUUGGCUACAUCAACUGCUUUGGUGAAGGCUUAGUUAUGCAGAGAAGCUAUCGAGGGAUCAUGGCUAUGCAAAGGAGCAAGCUUCCAAAGGCAAAUUCACGGAGGUUUGAGCGAAGUUUGCUGCAGAAGACUAGUCGAAGACAAAAUCAUCUCUAUGUGAUCUCUGUGUAGGAAGCUGAAUGUGCAAUUUAAAAGUUUGGAUGAAAACUCGAGACAAGUUUAGGAGCUGAAGAAUCUGCAUUUCGAAAGUAACAGAACCUAGAUAAAAACUCGAUCCGGACAAUUUCAAACACCACCAAAUGUCACGACGAGACUUUAACUUGCAGCGUUUCUCCAUGGCCUUCACUACUAAAAAAAACUUUACGGAGGCGGGCAAAAUCUAUUAACCGAGGCGGUUUUUGCAACCGCCUCGGAUCAAAGGUCACGGUAAAUGACCUAUUUAUCGAGGCGGUUUGCUGCCCGCCUCGGUUAAUCAAAUAAAAAAAAUAAAAAAUAAAAAAAAAAUCCGUGGACAGGCCUGCGAGCCCAUCCACGGUUAGCCGUCGCCACCACCGUCGCUCAGGAGCCGCCGGUGCUGUUGGGGAGUCGUGGGGAUCUCACCGCCCUGGAUCCGCUGCCGAAGGACGACGACGCCCUCAAUCCGCUGCCAAAGGACGACGACGCCCUCGAUCCACAGCCGAAGGACGGCGGCACCCACGAUCUGCUGCAAGGAGGUACCACCGCCCUUGAUCCGCGCCGGGAGGAGCUCGCCAACGUGGAGGAGGGGCAUGUCGUCCCGUGGCCGUGGAGGUAGAGAUCCUCCUCGUGCCAUGGCCGCUCUGCACACCGCGCGCCGAGAGGGGCCGCGUCUCCCCGCGCCAUGGCCGACCCGCGCCGCUUGGAAGAGAAGGGGUGCCACCAGAUGGGAGAGAAGGGGAGCCGCCAGCGGGACAGGGAGGGGAGGGGCGCCGGUGGUGAGAUGGGAAGGGGAGGGGCACCGGUGGCUAGAUACGAAGGGGAGGGUCGGGGGCGUCGGGCUAGUGGUGAGAUACGAAGGGGAAGGGGAGGGGCGCUAGUGGCCAGGGGACGAUUGGCUU
rnacentral:lncRNA from 1 species